GCACCAUCCAGAGAAUCGCUGUCGCAGCUCACGCACUGAAAGCCAUCGUGCUUUCUCACCUUUUGCUGUGGGGAAAGUCCCCGGAGACCUGCAGGGCCGCCGUCCGAUGCCGGAGUCCAGCCCAUCACACUUGAGGAAAGCGCCUGUCCCGAGGCACGACAGGAAGUGUGAUCUCCGUGCACAAGACGGAUGCAUUGGCGUCACUUGUUAUAUCACUUGCGAAGCGGUGCAUGUGACUCGAAAGACGUGCUCUGCCUCCCGUGCAUGCUGGAUCUCCGCGUUGCAUCUCUCAGUUCCGCAAAGUCCGACCACGACUAUGCGCUGGCGAAGAUAGGAGCCGUGCGGAUUCGUGCAGGAUGGGCCUGAGAUGAAGCUGCCCGGAGAGUGGUUGCCGGAAUCGUGUUGCUCAUAGCCGAUAGUUAUGCGAUUGCGUCUAUGCUGGCCUCGGCCAGCACGGUCGUAACCCAAUGGGGCUCAUUCCUGAAUGGUG
rnacentral:RNase_MRP_RNA from 2 species